AGUUAAUAAGCUUUAGACAAGCUUCUACUUUGAAAGUAGAAUAUGAUAGUUAAAUUCUAUCAUUAACUU
rnacentral:tRNA from 1 species